AGCCUGAGCCUCGAUGGAAUUGGGUUCGGAGUCCGGCCGAGUUGGCCCUGUCGCCUGCGCCUUGCCUGGCCUCAACCAUGCCCUGACAGGGAUUGAGAAACGGAAAUUUCACCACCCUCCAGCCAAACUUUCGAGGACUGAUUGCAGAGGAACUGGUGCUCCAGAUGUUGCACUAGAGGCGCUGCAAGUGUGAGCAGAUGGCAGUAGACCUACCUCACAAGUGGGAGCAGAUAUUCUCAAUGUUUCUAUUGAAAUAUCUUUAUUUCCAUUUGCAAGAGGAGCUCUGGAGCCUCAUUCUUGUGGUAGCUACCAAGUUCUGAUAUAAGCUGUUUUCAUCAGGGAACUUUGGCAAGAGAAUGGCUGGAUCAGCAAGUCCAUCUCCAUAAUGGAACAACAACUUGAAGCUCAUCUCUGUUGAUGAUGUACAGUCUGUAGGAUGGGGGUAGACUGAAUACCUGCUUCACGGAAUACUUGCUUCAAAUCACCUUUCACAUCUUCUUGUUGGAAAGACAAUCAUUGGAGAAUCGUCUUGUUACUGUCAGCAAAACUGAAAAGAAAUCAAGACAUUAAGAAUGCCACAGUGGCCAGCAGUUAAUGAUGCCAGUGUUAUGCAAGCUUCGGCAAAGGAAUUUUUUUCAAGACAGCGUGCCUCACUAGCCAGAAAUCAGGAAAGGUCGAACCUAUCCUUUUUAUCUCAGCUGUUUCUUCAGUCAGUGCAGCCCCUCCUAAUUAAAGUGAAUUGAAACAUGCAUUGCCUUUUCAGCUUAAUUGAGUACUUACUAUGUGUGAAUCACUGCACAGAAUAGGGGAGGGAAAAUGAGGGAGACAAAUAAGAUAUUGUCCCUGCCUUCACUGGAUUUACAGUUAGUUUAAGGGCUUUUUUUGUCUUCUGCUCUUAAUUAAGUGUAUCCCUAAGACAGGAAAUGAAUGGAAAAGUGUAUUCUGUAAGUAUUUGAAAUCUCCUUAAUAUAAGACGAAAUAAAAACUAAUGUGAGCAACUCAGGACAUUUUAAUUCCACUUUCUUUGGACUUCUGAGAGGACCCAUUUUACUGAUUCUAUAUACAUUCGGUAGACUUUAGAGAUAUUAACAAAUUGUGGAUGAAGUGAAUUUGAAUAAAUUUUUUUCUUCCCU
rnacentral:lncRNA from 1 species